AAAUAAUUGAAAUAAUAAAAAAACUUAAGAGAUAAUAAUUGUAGAAUUACUGAGAACUGGCCGUACAUUGAUAAGCUCAAUAGUCUUCCUACCUAUGUGUUGCCUACUGCGACCUAACACCACCUCUCUCUCUCUAUGCAUUAUCUCCGUAUCAUUGUUUUCUCUUGUUUUUAUUCCACAUGCAUUUGUUUUUCACAAGAGGUAAAUUGUGUCAUUAUUACUCUCUCCAUUUCAUAGUAUAAGUAGUUUUGACUAAAAACACGAAAAUUAAAAAAAUUAUUAUGUUUUUAAAAAUUAUUUUAUAAUAAAUAGGUUAGAUAUAAUUUAACCAAUAAAAAAUAAGUCUAUUUAAUUUGAUUGGUCACACUGUAUUCAAUAAAUAUAAAAAUUACCUAAAAAUACGAAAACUACUUACAUUUUGAAACAAAAGCAUUUCUCUAAAACUCCUUACAAUAUGAAACGGAGGGAGUAUUAGUUUUGUCCCAUGUUCUAAAACGCGGCCGCACCACCCGAUUAAGCGGCGGCGAAACGCUAGGCGGAGGUUGAGCGAGGCGAUUUCGUCUUAUUCGGCCAAUAACUCGGAAUCGUCAAAAAAUUUCAAGUUUUUGAGGUUUUGAGCUUAUAAUCGAGUUCUAGAUGUUAAAUCUAUGAGUAUUAAGUAUAAAUAUCAAGAAAAACGCAAAAGAAACUGAUGAAAUCAGUGAAACAAAGGUGUGGCGGCUCU
rnacentral:lncRNA from 1 species